AAUUGAGAAGCUGCCACCGACCCCUAGCUAUAGCCAAAGGUCGUCGAUGAUAGAGGUAGCCAGCUAGGGUCUUGUUGAGAGAGAAGGCUUUUAGAGAAAGAAUGGAUGUAGUGAAUGAAUAUAAAAUUUUGACCUCGACCUAUUGGUUUUCUUUUGAUUAGUAGUAGGCAUGCAAUGUGUUUAACAACCAUGGCAUGAGCAUUGGUGAUUUUGUCCUAUUUUUCACUUUGGAAUUUUACCUAAAAAGUUAGUUACAUGAACUAUAAGAAAUUGCUUGCCCAUGAAAUUUGGAAACUUGUGAUGAAAAUAAUCAUAAGUUUCUCAACUUUUACGUUUUAAGCAUGUAUUUAAUUUAGGGUGGUUCUAUCUACACCCCUUUUUUUACCUCGUACACAUUCCCUGUUAAUUUUUGUUAUUUGAUUUUCUUCAAUUCAUUUGUUCCGACGGUCAAAAAUUAAGAUUUGUGCGUGGAAAGUAAAAAAAGUUGUGUGAAUAGCACCACCAUUAAUUUCUUCGGAGCUAAUAACUCCUUCCUUGAUAAGGAUGGCAACAUUUUGGUUUUAAGACGGAAAUGCCAUAUUCAUCCCCAUAAUAAUGAAAAUUAACCAUAUCUCUAAACGUAAAUGAACCAUCGGAGAUUAUCCAUAACAAUACUCACCGGGUAACGGAUUCCCCAUUGGUUAUAGGUUAUAUCCAUAUUUGUCAAUGCAAAAAAAUUAUUCAUUUAACUAACACAUUUUAAUUUAAUAGAUAUUAAUUCUGUCAUUAAAUAUCUACAUCCAAAUCAUUAAAAACAUAAUAAAACUUUAUGGAGGUAUUUAUGACAAGCCAAAUAUGAUAGCAAAUUAAGGCAAAUUGGUCCAAUGAAAAAAAAAAUGGGAUAACAAAAGAAAAAUACAACAGCCAACUACUAGGGGAGAAAGACAAUACAAAAUUAUGAAAACAAUUUCAAUACGGCACAACACAUAAUAUAUAUUCGGGGCAGAUUCGGGGAUGGAUAUAGAUCGGGGACCCCUAUUGACACGUCCCAAUCCUGAUAUCCCCAAAUACCAGGAUAAGCAUGUGCUGGCUAACACCCGAGAGUGACGAAACCAUUUUGAACGUGCACGCAACAUAUAAAGAAAGAACGAACGUAAACAAAAUUUGUAAAUUUGAUUAUAAUGAAGUAUGCAAUUGUAAGAACGUGUUCAGAGCAUACAACUAAUUAAGAAUAAUGUGAAAGAAUUAAUAUAAAAUGAUACGAACAAAGGAGUAGGUUCUACUCUGAAAAGACUCGAGGAUACUAUGCUUCGGUGUCUUGACGCUGAGAUUAGAUGCCUCGAUUCUAACUCAUAAAGGGGCGCAAAACAAAGGGUGAGUGAACCAAAGUUUAUAAUAAUAAUACUAAUAAUAAGAAAACUAUUUUCUUUCUGAACAUACUAACCUCCUGUUUUGAAAACACAUAUAUAGUACUACAUAGUAAGUUUUUUGAAAACUCUAGCAUGCCAUGAAAAACAUUCGUAAAACAAGUACGUGUAAACCAGUGCUCAGUAAUGGUAAUAGUCGCCCGAAGGUAAAUCCGUAAAACAUUUGUAAAUCAUAUCAAUAAUGUACUCAACUAGGGGUAUCAUAAUGGCUCGAAGGUGAAGCUGUACGACUUUAAGUUAUGCCAGAGAAGAAACAUAUAUAUAUGUAUAUAGUGGGUCCAUCACUUGAAGGUGAAGAUGUACGACUCUGGGUUACGCCAGAGAAGAAAAUAGGGGUCCAUCAUCCGAAGGUGAAGUUGUACGACUUUGGGGUACACUAGAGAAGAAAUAUACACACACAUACACACACACACACACACACACACACACACACACACAUAACACACUGACACUAGCCUCGGGCUAGUGAAGCUGGGAGUAUGUCAUAAAUCUCAUCAACUGUGUCCUAUGGUCAUGGACAUCUACAUACUCGGUUGUGUGUAUGUGUUGUAUGAUAAUCCACUAGAUAAGCAUCGAAAACGUAUCUCAAAAACUCAUAUUAGAUCAUCGGAGCUCGAAAGCUCAAAGUCUCAUCUCAUAAAUCCAUAAUAAUUCAUACUCAUAAAUCCAUAGAAUUUCAUAUAUGAAAAUUCAAUAAUUCAUAACCUUUUGUAAAACGUAAACUCGACAAAUCAUAAAUAUUUAAUAAAAGCAAUUUAAAAAAAUCACAAAUUCUCCGUAAACCAUAAAUAUAGAAAUCCGUCAAACAUAAUAUAAAACAUGCUCAAUUCAUGAAAUGCAUGCAAGCCUAAUAUUUUAUAAAAACAUGCAAUUUAAGAAGGGGUUCACUCACAGUUUCCAUUGUCGAGGAGCCAUUCGAACUAGAGAGGACGGGAUCACUUUCCACCAACGCACCAAAACACAAAUAGAGCCCAUUUAAUAACCAUAUACUAAAACGAUCGAAUUUGGGAAAACAUACAUCAGAUUAGGAUUCAGCACGUCGAAAAACUUAAGGAGGGACUGGGGGUUCCCCCAAGCGCCACCGCAGGCGCC
rnacentral:lncRNA from 1 species